rnacentral:lncRNA from 1 species
CCCGAGGCCGGCGAGCGUCUGCGCCCGUGGGCAGAACGUGAGCUGUUGGGCUACGGGCUCGAGUUUCACGACCAGCUGCCUGGCCAGAACGCCACCGCCGUCUACUCGUGCCUCCUGCUGAC